rnacentral:rRNA from 1 species
AAGCGUGCGCAGGCGGUUUUGUAAGACUGUCGUGAAAUACCCCGGGCUCAACCUGGGAAUGGCGAUGGUGACUGCAAGGCUAGAGUUUGGCAGAGGGGGGUAGAAUUCCACGUGUAGCAGUGAAAUGCGUAGAUAUGUGGAGGAACACCGAUGGCGAAGGCAGCCCCCUGGGUCAAAACUGACGCUCAUGCACGAAAGCGUGGGGAGCAAACAGGAUUAGAUACCCGGGU